CCUGGGACAGCUCAGCUGGCUGAGCACGAGACUCUUCAUCUCCAGGUCCUGGGUUUGAGUCCCAUAUUGCGGGG